rnacentral:rRNA from 1 species
CCUACGGGAGGCAGCAGUGAGGAAUAUUGGUCAAUGGACGAGAGUCUGAACCAGCCAAGUAGCGUGAAGGAUGACUGCCCUAUGGGUUGUAAACUUCUUUUAUAUGGGAAUAAAACGUUCCACGUGUGGGAUUUUGUAUGUACCAUAUGAAUAAGGAUCGGCUAACUCCGUGCCAGCAGCCGCGGUAAUACGGAGGAUCCGAGCGUUAUCCGGAUUUAUUGGGUUUAGAGGGAGCGUAGGUGGAUUGUUAAGUCAGUUGUGAAAGUUUGCGGCUCAACCGUAAAAUUGCAGUUGAAACUGGCAGUCUUGAGUACAGUAGAGGUGGGCGGAAUUCGUGGUGUAGCGGUGAAAUGCUUAGAUAUCACGAAGAACUCCGAUUGCGAAGGCAGUUCACUGGACUGCAACUGACACUGAGGCUCGAAAGUGUGGGUAUCAAACAGGAUUAGAUACCCUUGUAGUC